rnacentral:sRNA from 1 species
GCGCCCACCGUGGGGCACGAAC